AACGAACGCUGGCGGCAUGCCUAACACAUGCAAGUCGAACGAGACCUUCCGGCUUAGGGGCGGACGGGGGCGUAACGCGUGGGAACCUGCCCUUAGGUUCGGAAUAACUCCCCGAAGGGGGUGUUAAGACCAGAUAAGGUCUUCGGACCAAGGAUUUAUGGCCUUGGGGUGGGGCCGCGUAGGAUUAGCGAGUUGGUAGGGGAAAAGCCGACUAAGGCGGCGAUCCAUAGCUGGUCGGAGAGCAGGCACAGCAACACUGGGACGGAGCCACGGCCCAUACUGCUGGGGGAGGCAGCAGUGGGGAAAAAUGGGCCGGGGGCCAAAGCCAGAACCACCACGGCCGGGAGAGUGAUGAAGGCCUUAGGGUUGUAAAGCUCUUUUACCCGGGAUGAUAAGGACAGAACCGGGAGAAUAGGCCCCGGCUAACACCGU
rnacentral:rRNA from 1 species